rnacentral:lncRNA from 1 species
GAGACUAAACCAUCUCGACAAUAAUAUGUAAUAUUAGUUGUAAUGGUGGUAAACAUGAUAGUCUUAAUUGAUUUAAGCACAAUGCAGUAAACAUAGGUAGACAUACAUAAUAUUACAUGUCAUAUUAUAUUGAUGCUUACCAGGUUUGGUAGAUGGCAAGUCUCGACGCCAAUAUAAAAGCAUUACAGAGUGCUAGGUAAUAUUAUACAACAUUAAUAUUAUACAACAUUAGUAGGAUGUAGAGUCUAGGCUCCGUGAGAUAUAUUGUACAAAAGCAUCUCAGUCUGCCCAAGCACUCUUAUAGGUCCAUGGCAUUAGCAUCAUUAUGUAGGGUGGAACUUGGAGAAGGCUGUUCACUGUUGUGAAGCAUGCGAGCGCUUGCGUCUGAUGAGUUAACUUUAAUAAAGUAGUCCAUAGCAAACAUCCAUAUGUCUUCUAACUGCAUGUCCAACUGGAAUUGUUGGUCGAUUGCAAUCUUGAUACUUUGGUGGCUGAUUGCAUCGGUGGCUGAUAGUAGAACCUUUGGCAUCACUGCAUUGUCAAAGACAUUUGAGUCAUUGAUGUGGAGGUAUGUCGUGUUGACUAUCGUCAGGUUUGGGUAAUGGUAAUUAGCCAUCCCCUAGAUAUUGUGGCCUGUAUAAUUUUUAAUUCUAGUCAACGAUUAAUUUGAAGCACAAGCAAACUGAUGGGUUUAAAAAUAUGUCAAUAUAGAGGACGUAGUUGUCACAUAGAAUUAGGAAUGGAAUGAGUCAUUACUGUAUUAUUCCUAAAUUCAGUACAUUUUUCCAUGUAAAAGGAAUCCUGACUAUAUUGACAACAAUUUAUGAAGCUAUGAAAUAGGACUGGCAUAUAGCUAGUUAUUCUCUUUGGUUUAAAUGACAAUGUCACAUGGUAAUACACUAAUACUGCACAUUAUUACUAAGUGUUUUCAUGGAUGUCACUUUUUUGUGUGUUCGUAAGUCUUGAGACUCAAAGGAUCAAUGGUCCAAAAUUGAGCUGCCAUUGAAUGGAUUGACAAGCAAUGGGAGGGAACAGGAGUAUAGAGUUUUGUCAGAUCUCACGUACUGCUGUUGUAGCUGGGCUGGUGGCUGUGGCUUGAUUGAGUGGACUGUAAGUGAGAAGCAAUUGUAAUGACUUGCGUAUACCGUGAAAGCAAGCAUAGGAGUCACCCAAAAAAUAGGACAAUAUGGUAACUCUAAAAUCAGCCCGGCACUUCUACUUUGGUUAAUAGCUCAAGGACUAAACUGGGAUAACAAACAUUUAAGCCCAGACCAUAUGCCAUGAUUAACUAUGGAGGUCUAUCAUAGCUUAGUUCAGGAACAGGAGCGGAAGUAAUUGGAAGCUAUCCAAACCUUUGGCUACGCAAUACCACAAAUAUUAGGCGCGGUAGAGUAUAAGACAAAUAAAGGCAAAUAUUAUCAUUGACCAAUUGGUGAGCCAAAGCAAAAGAAGAGAUGGCGAGGAAAAGGAAGAGCAAGCAAAUUUAGUAAGUGACCAAAGAAAAAAAGAAAAAUAAUAAUAUGUUACUCUAAGAAAACUGCUAGGCCAUGUAUUGUUUUGGUGUACUGUCGAGGCAGCUCUUUGAUGAGGGAUUCCACAACAAUGGAAUCCCUCAUAACAGUCUGAAGGCAGUAAAGUCCAAUUUUUUAAAAAAUGAACACCAACCUGAUUUGUGUAGAAAAGCCUGCAACGAUGCAACACUUGGCCUGUCUGGUAAUCCAAAAGGACCCUGGAUGUGGGAAGGCAAAAAUAUUUUAACAAAUCAGGAAACUUGAAAUAGAACAAGCAUUAUAAGUCAGAUUACGAAGAAUGUACAAUGCAUGUAUUGGUAGAUGCAAAGAACAAUAGGCACUUCCUUCUUUCAGUCUUUAAAAAAAGUGGGCACUUCCUUCUUUCAGUCCUUAAAAAUAGUGCUUCUAUUGAAUCCCAGUCCUUAGUCGAUGACACAAUGUAAUUUAAUACAAUUCCUCUGAAACGAAAGAGUGAAUCAGUUGAAAGGCUCUGCUCUAUAGGGAAAUGAAACAAAUGGACUAUGUCAAUUUAGAUGGCACUCUCUGGACAGGUAAAUAAAAUCAUUCCCCAUAUGUAGGCAUAUGGUUUGGACUGUCUGUACACAAUUUUAGUAGUUGAUGAGGACACCGUCCUUAUCAAAUAAAUUAAAUGCAGUAAUAGUGAUCGUAUCAUAUUAUUCAUGGCAAUAGUACGAAAUCUGAAACAAAACCAAAUAUCAUAAUUGAUUAAUUGAGGCAUAAAAUUUUUGAAUCGACCACGUUAAGCCAACCUGUACAAAUAAUGGAACCUUUCUCUGUUGCUGUAGCUGCAUGUUCCAUAGUCCUGACAAAUAGGAAAAUUCCACUAUUAAUAAAUAUGAGGAGCAUAUAAAAGUUAGGAUGUUAUUAACAAUAAGAAAGACCAUACUAUGAGUCGGAUACCCGCAUAUAAGCAUAAAUUGUUUUGUUUAACUAAAACACAUGGAGCUUGUGCAAUAUGUAGACAACAAAUUUUAGGCAUGUCUUGGAUGAAUAUAGAAACUAAAGAUUAUACUUGGUACAGAAAGCUAUGAACAUACAAAUCCAUUUUUUGUGAUUACUAUGUGAAUGAAUGUACAGAAAAUAGUGACCUUCAGUUGUGCCUAUAUCACCUAAAAUUAGUCUCACACAUGCUCGAAAUUACAUAAGCAACAAAUAUACAUCAUACUGGUCUUGGUCAGAAAAAAAGAUGCAUAAGGUGUUUUCUUACCAAGUAGCAGGCGAGCGUCACCAAUGUUCCCAAAAAUAUCAACAAAAACAUUAAGUGGACGAAGAUAAAAGCAAUUAGAGCACAAUGAAGCACAAGAUUCAUACCCAGAAAAAAAUCAAAGAAAUAGUUAAACCGAAAAUGACUGUACGCAACCAAAGUGUAUACCAAUGUAAUCAUCGGGAUAGGGCAUGUGCUCAGAAGUGAUAGUAUGGCAUCACAGGCAAUGCUCACAGGCAGCAAAGCAAGAACUAUCAUAGGCAAUGGCAACACAAUCUCAGAGUCAUGAUCAAGAGCAAGUUUCAGGCGCGUAGUAUGUGACAAAAUAGGCAAUCGGUAUUAUCUCUCAUUAAUGUGUCCAAACUAAACAAAACAGUUCAGGCAGGAAUGAAUGGAAGAAAACCAAGACAACCAAUUGACCAUUGCGUAAGUUGUCGAUAUAGAAAAAAGAUAUAAGAGGAAAACCGGUCAUAGGUCAUGAGCAUUGCCUCAGACAUCUAAAAAGAUAGAGAUGUAAUCUGUGGAACGCACACAAUAAUCAUUACAUGGAACACAAAUAAACCUAAUUUAUGGUGCAAUCAUCAUAGCAGUAGCCCAUUCCCUUAAUUGUAGAUGUAAAUUAUACUCAUCAUCACACAUGGCUGAAAUGCAAACAAUGAACCCAAAAACAUCAAUACUGCAGUGCACGUGGUGUCAAACCAAUAACAGUGGCAUGCUCAUGUGCUCAGAGUUUAGGACUUACAGUGGAAGCUGUAAAAGUCAGGCAUAAGCAUCAAGUAAACCCAAAGAAGGUUUAGAAAUCACAGGAGGUAUUUGGUGACAAAAUCAGCUAAAUCAGCUGCAAUGUUUAUGAACCACAGGAUAGCAAAUCAAAGUGUUGAAAACAUUUGAGAAGACAUGGUCAGGGGUUCUUCGGAGGAGCUGCACGGGUAUUGUAGGGGAUAACAACAAAAAUUCACAAUAACCAUGUGUAGAUUUGUGAGAGAGUAGAAUGAGAACACCACAUCUACGGCGAAAUCGAGCCUGCGUCCAUGCAUAUCCCACAUGAGGAGAGAGGGGGAGGAAGGGAGGGAGGAAGGGAAAGUGAGGGAGAGUAAACCUGCGAGUGGAUGGAUCGAAGGAGAGCAGAGCCGCAUCGACUAUGUGCAGGAGCUCACGCAGAGGGGGGCGACCAUGGCCAACGGCGGUGUCCGAACAUGUCGCGCCGCCGUGUGGGACCCAUACCACCUGCGUCGUGCCCUGCGAGGAGCCAUGUCACGGGGCCAAGCCGUGUGGGGUAGGUGAGUAUGGAGGGGGCCGCCGGGCUGCCACCCGAUGAACGGCCAAAACCCUAGGUUGGGUUUCUGUUGACCUAGGACCAGAGAGGGCGUCACGGUGGUCGACAGCGAUGACCUCGGUGGGCACACAGCAGCGACGCAGAGGUAGCACAGGACACCAUCAAAUAGUAGGCCAGACAAAGCAGAGGAAACAGCAGGAACCCCCAAGAUCACGACAGGAGCGACGGCGCCAAGGGAGAGAACAGACGAACCGAGCCUGAGGAAGACGAAAGGGAGGAUAAAACUGGGAGCAUUAGGCGGUGUUGGGUCCUUUUUCUGGUGGCUUGUGGGCCCCUACUUGGUUGGUGCAACAGGGAUGGCAAUAAAUGAGACAAACACACUUAAGAAGCUAUGGAGCCGAAGCGAGAGGCAGAAUCAACCA